rnacentral:rRNA from 1 species
GUAGGGUGCGAGCGUUAAUCGGAAUUACUGGGCGUAAAGCGUGCGCAGGCGGUUCGCCAAGUCAGGUGUGAAAUCCCCGGGCUUAACCUGGGAAUUGCGCAUGAAACUAGCGAGCUAGAGUGUGGCAGAGGGGGGUGGAAUUCCACGUGUAGCAGUGAAAUGCGUAGAGGUGUGGAGGAACACCGAUGGCGAAGGCAGCCCCCUGGGUCAACACUGACGCUCAGGCACGAAAGCGUGGGGAGCAAACAGGAUUAGAUACCCUGGUAGUCCACGCCCUAAACGAUGUCAACUAGGUGUUGGGGGAGGAGACUCCCUUAGUACCGCAGCUAACGCGUGAAGUUGACCGCCUGGGGAGUACGGUCGCAAGAUUA